GGGAGGGGGGCACAAUUCAGUCCAUAACAGUGAGACAACAACAGUGUUGUCAGGCAUUGCCGGGUGACAGUGUAAAAAAUACUCUAGUGACUACAGGCCGGAAAAGAUUUCCUGCGUCAUGAAGAACAUGUAUCACAGCUCUUACCUACCAGCCUGGGUAUCUCAAAUGUUUAUGUUAACAUUUGGUACUUCUCUUUCUCUUAGUGUCGUGUGGGAGCCAAUGGGAGAUGGGAAGAAAAUCAUUUCCUUGGCUGAUAACCAUAUCCUGCUGUGGGAUUUACAGGAAAGCUCGAGCCAGGCUGUGCUGGCCAGCUCAGCGUCCCUGGAAGGGAAGGGACAACUGAAGUUCACCUCAGGACGGUGGAGCCCACAUCAUAACUGCACCCAGGUGGCCACAGCGAACGACACCAC
rnacentral:lncRNA from 10 species